AAGGAAAUAUAGCAGGCUAGGCCAUUUCCAGUCUUAAAAUAACACUAGAAUUGGGCUUUUUUUUUCUUUUUCUCCCUGAAGGUUUCCACUUCUGCUCAACUAAGUGUGCGCUGCAUGUUAAGGCGACGUUUACGUUUCGAUCUCUUCUAGCAGUCAUAAGAAAUAGGCUGGGAAAGAACCUGAGAGGUCACCGCAUUCGUUCUCCUAGGAGGCAGGUCCGAUGCGCCCCAGGCUGGUCCUGUCAGAUGUCUGUCCACCCCGCUGUUAUACGGAUGCAGCUCGGGAGCUCCCUGGCCUCCUGAGAAGAGGACAGGAAAUGCAGUGAGCAAAUCAAACUUGCAAAACACUCUCUGACGAUGCACGUUUCUCAGACGCUUCGCCAGAAAGGGUGAAUGGCUUGGGUGUGUGCCGACAAGUCCUCACGUUGCCAGUCCCCAGAAAUUUUGUCCCAGGAAGGAGUCAGCAGUGGAGAUUAGUAAGUAGAUGGUGCUGUGAAACUGAGUUGCAGCUCGAAAGGCCUCGACACAGGGGGAGGGUGUUGAGCAGCCCCUCAGCUGCUGCCAUCCUGCUGCUCUGCGGCAUGCCGAGCCCACGUUGCCACCGUCUUGGCACUGCAAAAGUGUCACUGAUCUACCUCCUGUGCUUGGUUUGCCCUGGUGCCACCACCUAGCUGAGAGAGCCCAGCAGAAGAACAGCUCUUUCCAUGUUUAUUACCUCUUCUCUGUAACAUACCCAUGAGCGGGCCUGAUGGUCCAGGAAGACCUUUGUAAGCCUGCAAGUUUUAUUUCUCUGAAUUAUCUCUGACUCUCUUUCUCUUGAGAGCUAGGGUGCUAAUUCUUCUGAUUUAGCGUAUUCAAAAGAAACAAGGAGGUGGGUAGACGGUGUUCUGUCUCCCAAUGAAAUUUUGCUAGUAAUGAGUUAUUCAGCUGAGCACUGUGGUAUGUACCGUCCUUCUAAAUUUCCCAGAUGUCUGCCUUAUCUGCUGCAGAGUUAACGUUAGCUGGGGUGAGUAAAGGCUGCUGACAGUAACACUUCAGACCUGACCUCCUUGUGGUGAGUAUUUCGGGUGAGGAGUGGGUUUGCUGGCUUGCUUUCUUUUAGUGGUUAAGGUGAAAGGUCAAAACUUUUUCUUCUCAGUGCUACGAAAAAGUCUGAUGUGAAUGCAUUUACCAUCAGUGCUGGCUGAUGGAAACACGUCAGGCUCCGGUUAAGGGAACCAUUGUCAGGUCCUUUCUAUUAGGGCCAUGAAAAAUCUCAAACUUAAGACUUUCCACAGUAACAUCUGUUCACUGGAAGAGGCUGGGUAUCCAUGAUACUUUGCUGUGAAUGAUCUUAGCUUUGGGAUGGCCAGCAAGAGACACAACGAACUUAAUUUUCAGCGGCAUAGAAGAGAGCGAGACGAGACAGCGUUAAACGUGGCAGCCUCCCCCUGAAAAUCAAGUCCCCUCAGAUCAGCUCUGGCAGCCAGGAGAGCUGGUCCUCAGAGGCAGAUGCUACUUACAGAGAUCUCAGCUAGGAUCAGGAGGAGGAACCUGGAGCAAUGUCCUGAGCAAUUGUAGCGUUGCGAAGGGAUGUAGAAAGCUCAAGUAAGGGAAAAAAUUAUCUCCUCUCUGUGUUACCAGCCACAACCAACUGCUUAUAACCACCUUAGAUGCCCAAGCAUUGCCAGA
rnacentral:lncRNA from 1 species